rnacentral:rRNA from 1 species
UACGUAGGGGGCAAGCGUUGUCCGGAUUCAUUGGGCGUAAAGAGCGUGUAGGCGGCCAGGUAGGUCGGUUGUGAAAACUGGAGGCUCAACCUUCAGAGGUCGACCGAAACCAUCUGGCUAGAGUCCGGGAGAGGAGAGUGGAAUUCCUGGUGUAGCGGUGAAAUGCGCAGAUAUCAGGAAGAACACCCGUGGCGAAAGCGGCUCUCUGGGACGGUACUGACGCUGAGGCGCGAAAGCGUGGGGAGCGAACAGG